rnacentral:rRNA from 1 species
UACGGAGGGUGCAAGCGUUAUCCGGAUUUACUGGGUUUAAAGGGUGCGUAGGCGGGCCUGUAAGUCAGUGGUGAAAUCUUCCCGCUUAACGGGAAAACUGUCAUUGAUACUAUUUGUCUUGAAUACUGUGGAGGUCAGCGGAAUAUGUCAUGUAGCGGUGAAAUGCUUAGAUAUGACAUAGAACACCAAUUGCGAAGGCAGCUGGCUACACAAAUAUUGACACUGAGGCACGAAAGCGUGGGGAUCAAACAGG